rnacentral:rRNA from 1 species
UACAGAGGUCUCAAGCGUUGUUCGGAUUUACUGGGCGUAAAGGGCGCGUAGGCGGGGAGGUAAGUCGGGUGUGAAAUCCCUCGGCCCAACUGAGGAACUGCGCCCGAGACUGCUUCUCUUGAGUCCCGGAGAGGAAGAUGGAAUUCCCGGUGUAGCGGUGAAAUGUGUAGAGAUCGGGAGGAACACCGGUGGCGAAGGCGGUCUUCUGGACGGUGACUGACGCUGAGGCGCGAAAGCGUGGGGAGCAAACGGG